CACACCAAGCCACCAGCUUCGUGCUCGACAAAUGCCACCCCAUUGCAUUGCUGCAGGGUUGCCGGUCUGCCGUUUCACCCAACUGUUGGCCUCUGUCCUACGUCCUACUUUACGUUUGUGUGCACUGUCCUGCCUGCCUUUGUAGUUGAUCCUUUUCACAAAAUUUUCGUACAAGCGGUUACUUCAGGACAUUGGCCGCACGACGCGUCACUGUUUUAUUUAUUUAUUUUUUGUUUGCUCUGUUGGCUUUGUUUUGCUUCAGUUUUCUUUAUUUUUUAUAUUUUCUUUUGCGCUGUUACAUUUUGCAAUUUCAAUUGAAACAUUCAAUCAAAUGAAUAAAAGUGCUUUUAUUGCGCAUUUCUAAUAAAACUUACACAAUCACGAACGUUUUUGCAAAUCAAACAAAAUCAAGCUGAGGAAUUUUUUAGUAGCUGAACGACAGUUGAAACUCAUAUUCAUAUUUUAUUGUAAUUAGAG